CUCUGGGACUUAGGCUGCUUCCUGGGAAGGGUUGCUGUGUAGUCUGAGAUCCCCUUCACUGGUGGGGAUCUUCUUGAAGCCUUUCCUCCCUCAGAAGAGGACCUCAGCAGUUUAACAUGAAUGUGUGUCUUGGAUGAUGGGAUGACUGUAUCUAUAACAACAAACAAUACUAAUUGAGGGAUGUACUGGUUCCACAGCUGAAGAAACCAAGUCCCUUAUCCUCUUCUCAGCACCAGAUAGUCCAGACUGCAAUGCCAUCCCAGUCACUAUCUGCCCACCCUUCUGUUUUUCAUAUUCUCUUCUAUAGAUUGAAGAGGAGGCAAAACUGGAUGCUGAAAAUAAAAUACAAAACCCCAUAAGCAACUGGCAACUGUA